rnacentral:lncRNA from 1 species
GAUUUUUUUUUCCCACAAAUCAAUAAAUUAAUACAUGGUUAAGGUACUUUUGUGAUUUGUUCUCCCACAGGAUAUAAUGCCAAAUAAAGGACAGAGUAGGUAUGCUGUGUGACAUUUUUUCUUUGAGUAUCAAUAGUGAACAUGACAAGAUAUUAGAUCCCAAACAUUGCAUAGUGUUUGUUGUAGUCACUGUAAAAUGAACACAGAUGUACUUUUUCAGGGAUCAGUGUCGCUCAAGGAUGUGACUGUGGGCUUCACCCAGGAGGAGUGGUAGCAUCUGGGCCCUAUUGAGAGGACCCUGUACAUGAAUGUAAUGCUGAAGAACUACAGCCUCCUCAUCUCAGUGGGGUAUUGCAUUAGCAAGCCAAAGGUGGUCUUCAAGUUGCAGCAAGGAGAGGAGGCAUGGAUAUUAGAGGAAGAGUCCUCAAGCCAAAGCCACUUUGGUGAGUAGUGAGUACCUACCCACUGUAAGCCUAGUGAGAUUGGUCCCUGUCCAUUCAGGUGUCUGCUCUUUGCUAUUUUAAAGGAAUUUUAUAUUUCAUUUCAUUUAUUUAUUUAUUUAUUGGGUUA